rnacentral:rRNA from 1 species
GACGAACGCUGGCGGCGUGCCUAAUACAUGCAAGUAGAACGCUGAAGGAGGAGCUUGCUUCUCUGGAUGAGUUGCGAACGGGUGAGUAACGCGUAGGUAACCUGCCUGGUAGCGGGGGAUAACUAUUGGAAACGAUAGCUAAUACCGCAUAAGAGUAGAUGUCGCAUGACAUUUGCUUAAAAGGUGCAAUUGCAUCACUACCAGAUGGACCUGCGUUGUAUUAGCUAGUUGGUGAGGUAACGGCUCACCAAGGCAACGAUACAUAGCCGACCUGAGAGGGGGAUCGGCCACACUGGGACGGAGACACGGCCCAGACUCCUACGGGAGGCAGCAGUAGGGAAUCUUCGGCAAUGGACGGAAGUCUGACCGAGCAACGCCGCGGGAGUGAAGAAGGGUGUCGGAUCGUAAAGCUCUGUUGUAAGAGAAGAACGAGUGUGAGAGUGGAAAGUUCACACUGUGACGGUAUCUUACCAGAAAGGGACGGCUAACUACGUG